GGGUAGAGCACUGUUUCGGCUAGGGGGUCAUCCCGACUUACCAACCCGAUGCAAACUCCGAAUACCUGUGAGUACUAUCCGGGAGACACACGGCGGGUGCUAACGUCCGUCGUGAAGAGGGAAACAACCCAGACCGCCAGCUAAGGUCCCCAAGUACCAGUUAAGUGGGAAACGAUGUGGGAAGGCUCAGACAGCUAGGAGGUUGGCUUAGAAGCAGCCAUCCUUUAAAGAAAGCGUAAUAGCUCACUAGUCGAGUCGGCCUGCGCGGAAGAUGUAACGGGGCUCAAACUGGUCACCGAAGCUGCGGCUGCAUACUUUGUAUGCGGGGUAGGGGAGCGUUCUGUAAGCCUGCGAAGGUGUGUUGAGAAGCAUGCUGGAGGUAUCAGAAGUGCGAAUGCUGACAUGAGUAACGACAAUGCGGGUGAAAAACCCGCACGCCGGAAGACCAAGGGUUCCUGCGCAACGCUAAUCGGCGCAGGGUGAGUCGGCCCCUAAGGCGAGACCGAAAGGUGUAGUCGAUGGGAAACGGGUUAAUAUUCCCGUACCUUGGAUAGCUGCGAUGGAGAGACGGAGAAGGCUAGGUGAGCCGGGCGACGGUUGUCCCGGUUUAAGCGAGUAGGGAGUGGACUUAGGCAAAUCCGGGUCCACAAUCUCGAGACGCGACGACGACUGCUCUUAGAGCGGGAAGUCAUUGAUGCCAUGCUUCCAGGAAAAUCUUCUAAGCUUCAGGCUAUUCGAGACCGUACCCCAAACCGACACAGGUGGUCAGGUAGAGAAUACCAAGGCGCUUGAGAGAACUCGGGUAAAGGAACUAGGCAAAAUGGUGCCGUAACUUCGGGAGAAGGCACGCUGGUGGUAAGUGAAAUCCCUGCGGGUGGAGCUGAAGCCAGUCGAAGAUACCAGGCCCCUGCGACUGUUUAUUAAAAACACAGCACUGUGCAAACACGAAAGUGGACGUAUACGGUGUGACGCCUGCCCGGUGCCGGAAGGUUAAUUGAUGGGGUUAGCGCUUGCGCGAAGCUCUUGAUCGAAG
rnacentral:rRNA from 1 species